rnacentral:lncRNA from 1 species
CACCGCUGUCCUGCACCCUGUUCUGGGCACUUCUGCAGGUCGCUUUCCUCUGGGUGCACUCCGCCCUGCUGCAGCCAAAGCCGCCCAUGUCACCGGGCCGAGUCUGUAGGCCAAAACUGGCUUAAAAGUGCAGCUGACGUUCUGUGGCCCAGCGGGCUCCUGCCCGCUCCUCGCCCUGCCAACCGGCUCCUGUCCACAGUUUGUCCUGCAAACACCACGGACUCGGCUUCCACCUGUGGCUCAGGCACCAGCUCAUUGCUCAAACUCCGGAAGUUACUUGACCUCGCCAGGCACAGGGCACACACCUGUCAUCCCAGCACUCCCGAGGCUGAGGCAGGAAAAUUGCUAUGAGUUCAAGGAGAGGCCUGGGAUGUAGCUCAGUGGUUCCACUGCCUGCCUCGAAAGCACAAGGACCCGAGUUUGAUCCCCGGUACCAUUAAAAAAAAAAAAGAAAAGGAUUUAGAUUCAAGGUACAAGAUCCCAAUGAUGAGUGAAACUGUAUUUUAUACCUAAAAUGUACCAAUAAACUUAAUGGAAAAAAAAUAAGUUCGACGAGAGAGAGAGACAGAGAGAGAAACUUGACCUCUUUGAGGUUUCUUCUUAGGGAAAUGGAGAUAAAAUAUAUAUGAUUUUAGUGACUGAAAAGAUUGGCAUUUGAAGCCCAAUAAGAAAAAUGGACCGUUUGCUGCAUGAUAUUAGGACAUUUGAAUAAAUAAACACAUCUCUGCCUCACUCUAAGCAUGGAAUAAAUUGCAGAUAGAUCAAAGCUCAAAUGAGAAAGAUUAGGCUGAGUGUGGUGAUGCAUACCGGUAAUUCCAGCACUCGGGAGGCUGAGCCAGGAGGAUCACCGUGGAGACCAGCCUGGACUACACAAGUGAGUUCAAGGCCAGCCCAAACUGCACAGCAAGACCCUGUCUAAAAAAAAAAAAAGUGAAACUUUAAAGCGUUAGAAGAGAUUGGGAGAGAUUGUCUUGAGAUUGGGAGAGCCUUUCCAAGCAUGAGAUCACUCAGAGCCAAGCUCUUAUACAGGAAUUGAUCGACAAAUGUGAUUAUGUGAAAGUUAAAACUUCUAACGAAUGAGGAAAGGAGAGUGGAAGACACACAAGCUGAUGUGUGUGUGAGAGACAGAGAGAAAGCAGGCCCGGAGGAUGUGAGCAGCAUCCAGGCCGGGCCAGGUGCACUUCCGGAAUAGGUGCGGAGCUCUGACCACUCCACAGGGAAAAGACUCGCAAAAGGGGCGCAUGCGCACUGACCACACUCUUGCGGGGCAGUGCAGGUGUGCAGGGGACUAUCGUAGGUCACGCCUGCCUCCCCAGGCAGGGCCAGAGGCUGCAACUCCAACCCGCACGCCUCCCCACCCCUGCAGCCAGCUCCCCCGAGCGCACAGCGGCCCUGGCUUCUCCUCUCUGCACCCCACGGGGCGUGAGGCCCCGCGGCCCCGCCGCUUCCUGCUGUCUGUCUGGCUCUUCUGACUCCUGGAGGACACGACCGACCGAGCAGUAGCAGGGCCGGGCUGGGACCCCGGGACCGCCCCCCACCUCGGGUCUCCAGGCAGGUGUCUCCUGAGGCCAGGCCCAGAGAGACACUGGGGGCAGAAGAGCGGUUCCCAGCAGGGGGCGGGGGGGGGGCCUUCCAGGCAGAUGACCUAAUCGCGGCCUGGCCCCAGCCUGGGGCGCUGGCCACGCCCGUGAGCCGUCCGGCCUGAUUCACCAGCGCUGCUGAGUCACGCGGAGUGUGGAGCUGGCCGUGCUGCUCGCGUGCAGGACUGCGGCUGCGCUGCCUGGCCCAAAUGUGCCUGGGUCUGGGGUCGCUCAGGCUCCCCGGGACGAUCCCUCAGCCCCGCGUGGCCACUUCCGGCCUCUUGGCCGUGCUCUCUGCUGCUGCAGGGGCCGGUGCCGAGAGCUCUCCUCCUUUAUGCUCCCCGAACACUGGUGCCCAGCGCCCUGCAGGUGGCGGUCCCUCGGCCCAGUUGCCCCCUGUGCUUUGCAGCUGAGCCCUCGAGGCCCAUGGAGCUGCCUGCCGUGUCCACCUUGUCACAGGGGGCCACCAGGCUGCCUGAGGGGAGUCCUGUGAGGAAGCUGGCCCUGCCGCAGCUGUGGUGCCAGCGCUCCCAGCAGCUCAGCCAGUCCGAGGGGAGCCUGGGCCGAGAGUGCCGAGGGCGGAGGAAACAGCUGGCCGCGUCCUUGGGACUGUGCAGCUCCGCUGUGGCUGCAGCUUCUUCCGGUGGCUUCUCCCGGUGUGCAGGCUGCUGGGGACCUGUUGCCCCUGGUUGAGGACUCGGUCACAUGGGUCCCACCCGAGGCCUCUUUGUACUCGGCUGUCUGCAAUGACUCCGUUUUCUAACGAAGUCCGGGUCACAGGCGCUGAGGGGUCACAAGUCCUGAAGGUCACAGGCACUGGGAGUCAUAAAUCCUGUGGUCACAGGUCCUGGGGUCAGGAUCUCACAAGGUCUUGGUGGGCACCAUCAAGCUGUCCCACAUGUGCCAUCUUUUUUUUUUCGAGACAGGGUCUCCUAUGUAGGCCAGGCUGGCCUUGAACUCACUGCAGUCCUCCUGCCUCAGCCUCCUGAGUGCUGGGAUUACAGGCGUGUGCCACCUCAUCCAACCCCUCUUGUCCUGUUGCUGCAGUCCCCAAACCCCAGCCAGGUGACCUAUGCCGGCCCUAGCCCCAGGCUUGUCUGUUUCCUCCUGAUUCCUUUCUUCCUUCCUCCCCAGGCUGAGCACUGAACUCAACCCGCAGGACACUCCACGCCAGCGAUACCUCCUCCCAGCGCUGCUGGCCACAAACUCCUGGUCACCUGCUUCAGGGGCCUCUGGGAGUUUGCUGCGGUCUGCCUGGCCGGGUGCAUGUAUAACGUUCACUUACGAGGUGGCAGCCAGCACUUACUGAGCGCCUCUGCACUUCCGGCGUCCUGCUGGCCCUUGACAAACAGCCGUGGGUGGCUCCCGCCAGCUGCUGGGAGUCCUUUCUUCGCUGGUAGCAGCACCACUGUGCAGCCCUGGUGCUGGCUAAGCCUGCCCCACACCUUGUCCUUAACCGGGGUAUGGACAUCAGCACCCCACAGCCGAUGGAGCAACCAGGAGCAUCGGCUGGGAGCCCCUUGACGGGAGCUGGGCGCACAGUGGGGCCUGGCAGAUUCCGGUCAGGGGGCACCCCAUCCUGAAGGCGGGUCCUAGGGUGGUCAGGCUGGGGCAGCACCCAGGCCAGCACAAGCAAGGUGCCGGGCGUUCGAGGACUCAGGACAGGUGGGGAGGCCUGGUCUCCGCUGCAGGCCAAGGCUGCUCCCCGCCCCUCCCAGCGAGCCCGAGGUGCCCUGCUCAUCCUGGGCUGGGAACAGUGAGCCAGCAAAAUUCCCGACAAGCCUGGGCUGGAGAGAACUGGCGAGGCCUCUGCUGAGUCUCAGUCGGUCGGGCCCGAAGCCUGCGGCAGAAAACGAGCCAGGUGUCGCCUGCGUUGUCAGCUUCACCUGCAUGGGGACAUCCCUGGUCAGCUCUCCCUGUGGUCUGCAGGAUCCAGGCAGCUAUGAAAGGGCCGGAAGCAGUGUGAGCCCAGCCGUGCCCAGGGCCCCUCUGCUGGCUUCAAACUCUGCCCCUCCCUGGCUGGGCCGGCUGUGAGCCAGAAUGGAGCUCCUGGUUCCCCAGCUCACCCCCCUCCUCCAGGACAGGACAGGCCCAGGAGACAGGAGGGAAACCGAGGCAUGGGAGCGCAUCCUGUCGUGUCUGCAGUGCUGGAGAGGACGUCACUGUGAGCAGCUCCAAGCGCCAGAGCCUCCGAGGCUCCGGCAGAGCCAGGCUGGUGGUGAGGGCUACAGACCGCCGGCCCAGACUUCAGGAACACACCAUCCCUCUGGGCUGAGACUGCAGGUCUGUGAUCCGGGCAUUCGCAGAGACUGAGAGCAGCGUCCCCACUCUGUCCUGGCCAUCAGCAGCAUCUCAGCCUUCAUGUGUACGGUGUCCC